GACGUAGGGCGCGAGCGUUGUCCGGAUUUAUUGGGCGUAAAGAGCUCGUAGGCGGCUUGUUGCGUCGACCGUGAAAACCCGGGGCUCAACUUCGGGCUUGCGGUCGAUACGGGCGGGCUAGAGUUCGGUAGGGGAGACUGGAAUUCCUGGUGUAGCGGUGAAAUGCGUAGAUAUCGGGAGGAACACCGGUGGCGAAGGCGGUUCUCUGGGCCUGUGCUGACGCUGAGGAGCGAAAGCGUGGGGAGCGAACAGG
rnacentral:rRNA from 1 species